rnacentral:lncRNA from 1 species
CUCAGAGGGAAGGCCAGGCAUGAGGAAAAGAGCCAUUCACUUCAUUAAUUUCAAUUUAGUAUUGAACCAUUUCAAUCAAUGAUUUAUUAUUUUUGUUUAUAAAAUAUGUUGUAGUUCCCCAAAGAGAGCUCUUAAUCCUCUUAAGAAUGCACUAAACUCCUCCAUAUCUGUUAGGACUGUGGAUUUGGGGUCCUCAGCAGUGAGAGAGAGUUAUAUCCGGGGUCCUGCUUGGCCUGUUUCAUUGGAGUUACCUCUCUCCCUGACAUUCAGCUGAAGCAACAGGAUUGGGUGGCCGCCAUAAUUUGACCAGCUGACUUCCAUUCCUGGUUCCAGCUGAUUGAACCAAAUGAGUCCCAGUUCAAGCUGAGCCAAUCAGCUUUGCGUCUUAUGGAUUUUAUCUUCAGAAGACAAAGAUUCAUCUAGGACACAGCAUGAAGGCAGCCAUCUGCAAGCCAGGAGGUGGGCCCUCACCAAGAACUGAAUCUGCCAACACUUAGAUAUUGGACUUCCCAGCCUGCAGAAUGCCUGAAGAGACUAUAGGAAGCUCUCCUCGUCUUCUGAGCCUCUACCAAGAAUUAGCAAAUGCAGUAGGAGGAAAAAUCACUCUGACUCUCAGAUUUGCCAUCAGUCUUGAUACAACAUUCAGAAGCUUGUCUGAAAAAGAAACCGAAUGGAGGCAAAGUAGCCAAGAGAUGAGAAAAGAGUACAGACCCUGAUGAUCUCAUUUGAUCCUUGGAUUCUCCCAUGAUGCCUCUUGGACUAUUCAGUUUUUAAAUGCAAUUUUAUCCAUUUUUGAAUGAUCAUUAAGUUGGGUCUCUGUCAUGUGAAGUUAAAGCACCGUAUAUGUCAAUGGAUACAGUGUCAAUAUGUAGAAAUCAACUUUGUUUCUAUAAGCUACCAAGAUGUAAUUGAAACAUAAAAUUUAAAAAAUUAUUUACAAUAGCACCAAGAACAAAAUCUAAUGAAAAAUUUGUAGGCCCUUUACACAAAACUACAAGAUUAAGCCAAGAGAAAUUAAAGAUCUAAAUAAAUGGAGGAUGCUAUCAAGUUCAAAGAUUGGAAAAAUUCUUACUGUAAAGAUGCCUGUUUUUAAAAAAUUGAUCCAUAAAAUCAAUGCAGCUUCAAUCAAAAUUCCAAA